rnacentral:rRNA from 1 species
AUUGAACGCUGGCGGAAUGCUCUACACAUGCAAGUCGAACGGUAGAGGGGGCAACCCCUCGAGAGUGGCGAACGGGUGAGUAAUAUAUCGGAACGUGCCCAGUCGUGGGGGAUAACGUAGCGAAAGUUACGCUAAUACCGCAUACGAUCUAAGGAUGAAAGCGGGGGAUCGCAAGACCUCGCGCGAUUGGAGCGGCCGAUAUCAGAUUAGGUAGUUGGUGGGGUAAAGGCUCACCAAGCCAACGAUCUGUAGCUGGUCUGAGAGGGCGACCAGCCACACUGGAACUGAGACACGGUCCAGACUCCUACGGGAGGCAGCAGUGGGGAAUUUUGGACAAUGGACGCAAGUCUGAUCCAGCCAUUCCGCGUGCAGGAUGAAGGCCCUCGGGUUGUAAACUGCUUUUGUACGGAACGAAAAGGUCUCUCUUAAUACGGGGGACUCAUGACGGUACCGUAAGAAUAAGCACCGGCUAACUACGUGCCAGCAGCCGCGGUAA